rnacentral:lncRNA from 1 species
GCAGGAUGUAGGUAGCCCAAGGGCUCUAUUGCCAGAAAAAUCAGGCUGUAUUGCAAUUCUAAUAGUCCAUAGCAGAGUGGUAUCAGAAAUAGGAUAUCACAGGAGUAAUGGUCAAUGGUUGGACAGUCUGGGUACGAGGCAGGAAUGUUCUGUUUGCUCCUUUCUCUGUGGUGCCGUAGUUCUGGAGUCAACAAACUCAAGACUUGGGCACUUUGGUGUAGUCUUCACUGUGUAUGUUCUUGCAGAGUGAAAUGGACAGUAUCAUCCCCAGCAGCUCUACAACAGCAACGCCUGUGCAGACCCCAAGAAUGAUACCAAGGUUGUCCUUCAACCAAUCCUGUACCCCAUCCACACAACCCUGCCUGUGCACAGGCCAGUUGGCAUGCGUUGCAGUUUCAUUCACCACGACAUCCAGUGUACAGAAGCCUGUAUUUUCCUCAGCAUCCUUGGAACUAUUGGAGCAGGAGCAGGGAUACGCAGUCAUGCUUUUGUUGAUAAGAAUGGGAUUUUUCUCCCACUCCUCUGCUCCAUUCCAGCCACAGCAGGUAAGCUGUUUCUGCACAUAGUCCCACGCAUCUUGCAAGUUCUUAUCUUCACCAUUCACAGGGUCAUAAUCUCCAAUCAGUUUUUCAACUAUGCGUGACAAC